CAAUUUAGAUGCUGUGGCAUGACCUCAAGAGAGCAGUUAACACCAGACACGCCAAGAAUAUUGCUGAACUGAAACCGUUUUGUAAAAAGGAAUGGACCAAACUUCCUCCUGACCGUUGUGCAGCACAAACACACAAGCAAGCCUAGGGCAUCAGUGCCAAGAAGCAGACCGAAGUAUGGUAUAUGUACCUGCAGGUCUUCCUGCUCUACAGCAUCAAGUAGAGGUGUGGUUCCAUUGUCUCCAGUACAGUUGACCAGAGCUCCUGCCUGGAUCAGGUACUUAGUGAUCUCAUAGUGACCGUGGGACACUGCCUCGUGAAGAGGAGUCCAACCUGUAAGAAACAAUAAAGCAACAACUGAUGGUCACAGCAUAGA